UUGGUGUGCAUUGGUCGGCUU
rnacentral:siRNA from 1 species